UACGAAGGGUGCAAACGUUGCUCGGAAUUAUUGGGCGUAAAGCGUGCGCAGGCGGUUUUGUAAGCCAGAUGUGAAAUCCCCGGGCUUAACCUGGGAAUGGCAUUUGGGACUGCAAGGCUUGAGUGCGGCAGAGGAGACUGGAAUUCCUGGUGUAGCAGUGAAAUGCGUAGAUAUCAGGAGGAAUACCGAUGGCGAAGGCAGGUCUCUGGGCCGCAACUGACGCUGAGGAGCGAAAGCAUGGGGAGCGAACAGG
rnacentral:rRNA from 1 species